UCGCCUCCCCUCCCAACGGCGCCCUUCCUCCCCGCACGCUACGACGGCCGAGACGAACGCGCGGCUUCCUCCCCACCAACGGCGCCCUUUCCAAAAGCCUCGACCCGCUGCUCUCGCCGAGAUCCCGCGCGUAGCACGCGCGGCUUCCUUCCCAGGCUGGCGAGAUGCCUCCUUCUACGCUCGCGCAUGCACUAUGCCCCUGUCGUUGUCCACCUCCCACGCCCACGCAUGCACCCAUCCCCUCGUCACGCAAACCAUAGUCUCCUCCGCCCCCGUGCUCGCCACCGCGUCGACUUCGGUGGAGUCCAGCGAUAGGGCGAGGUCGUACCCCGACGACUCCCCCCCCCCCGACGUGUCGUCCUAGCCCGCACGCUCCGCCUCUGGCACCGUUGCACACCACGCCAUCCUCACCCUUCAACUCCUAAACUGUCCAGUGGGAGACGAUGCCGCCCUCGGUUCGCGAUGCCGCCCACUCCCACACGUCGUCGCGCGAAGCCGGCGCUCACUUCGGGCCAGAUCUACCUGCCCGUGUGGUGUUGUGCGUACGACCACCUCGUGAAGAUGCUGCAACAGGCGUACGCGCAGGUCGAGGAGCUCUCCGUCGAGCGCGAGCACCUCGUCAAUGAGCUCUAGCUUCUACAGAGCCGCUUCCACAAGCGCAAGAUCUGCCAGGCCUGCCUCCAGAAGGACGAGGAGAUCAGGAAGAGAGUCGUAAAGGCUGAGACGGCGAUGCGUCUUGGCGGCAAGGAGCUUCAGAUUCACUGCUGCGAGGCUGUUCCUUAGCCCCAGCUUCAAUUGUUCCUCAUUUAGUUUAUUGAAAUCUGAAUUAUUUGGAGCUAAUUUGUACAGUUUAUACAUAGAGCACCCUUGAAAGCCACAUUCACAUGAAAGCAGUAUACACAGAGCACUUCAAUUGAAAGCUGCUGCAUUGUACAGGGAAUAUGGAAUUCUGGAUUCCUAUAUAUCGUAACUCCUUUGCUGUUGCAUAUGCAUUCCAGUUUCAGUUUGGAGUUACAAAACGAAUUCAAUUACAGGUGUGCUUGUUCAGUUAUAUAGGGGGGGAAACUGUUUGUGCCAGAAGUAAUAUACUGAAUUUUGUAGCUGCAUUGUUCACCUUAUAUCGUUUUGCUAUGGUCAAAUCUCUUCUCACCAUUGGGCUUGUGAAUUUCAUGUUCCGGGUGAUGUGUCAUGCCUAGCAGCUGAUUAUAUUCUCAGCGUGCAUGUCAUCUCACUUUGCCUGUGCAGCAAGUGUACUGAGUCUGAUUGAUGCAUCUUUAGUUAGCUGUAAACUUACAGAGGCAAUAUGGGAGCGGUGAUUUCACUGUUUCGCCCGAAUCCAUAUAAAAGUGAGUCGGACCGGGCCAAAAAACGUGCUUUGGGCUGGGCUUCAGGCUUUCUGUAUACUGAUGGUGCAUCGACUGCAGAAGGAUGAAGCGGAGCUAUGCAUGCUGGUUCUGAAUUUAUCAAUAGACGUAUAUGUUUUUUUGUGGGGCUUCAUUGUAUCCAUAAUUUCAUAUCUAAGCAUUUAUAGUUAGCGGGCCUUCUGCUAAUCUUUGCUACAUUAAGCAUUUACCUAAUAUCGUUGGCCAUACUGCCUAAUUAUUCAGUAAAAGUGUGCCUGUACAUUAUGUCUUCAAUUUGCUGCUCCAUACAUCUACGUCGACGCUUAUAUUCAGCCUGAUUGGAAUUGUUGGCUGAUGCAACGUUGCUGAUGCUGUUGUAGCUAGACUGCAUGUAAGUACUAUGCUUUGUAGUACAGAAUGAGCCCGAUCUGGUGAGUUUUUUUGUUUCAACUAAAUAGGAGCUACUUAAUCAAGUAAAUGGGGAUUUCAGAUUGUUGUGGUGUUCCUAGAAAUUAUAAUAGAUUUCCUAUUUUAUGUUAUAAAAUAUGGUAUUUCAAAGAAAACCUUUUCAAACCAGGAAGUAUAAGGAAAGGCUUUGUUUUGGAAUUGAAAUCGCAAGGACAUAUUUUCACCCCAACAUGCAUAGUUUUUUAUGUUCACAUGAGAGGUAGAAACUAUAAUAUUAUAAAAAUAAUAACUGAGGUCUUGGAAAGCUAACUUUGGCAUAUUGCUAGGUUGUAAAUUCUUAGAUGCUGGAGUCUUCUUGAUUCUUUUAAUAAUUUGCCCGUGUUUAUUGCAGAUGGAUGGAUUUGAUCAAACAGUGAAUGUGAAGGUUGUAAUGGCAACUAAUAGGGCACAUACUCUAGAUUCUACUUUGUUGCGGCCAGGUAGACUUGACAGGAAAGUUGAGUUCUCUCUUCCUGAUUGGCGGUAGAAGAGGCCUGUGUUCCAAGUAAGUUGUCUUUUUGUGUGAAACUGUGAACUAAUUGAUAGGCAUUAUAUUGGGUUCUUGCGAAGUAGCAUGACUUGCAUAUUUUAUUAAUUUGCUGAAGUGUUGUAUAAUAUAUUGCAUUCGCAUAUGAUGAAACUUCCAUGGAUUGCUUCAGGUAUUGUUAUUAAGGUCUUUUUCAUCUCAUGCAAAUAACUAUUAAGCUGCUCAAAUUUCUUUAUUUGGUAAUUAAUUAAAAUUUUCAACCAUGUCAUAUUGCAUACAAAUUGCCAACUUUUUUUUGCACAUAUGCGCAUGCUCAAUUGUGAUAAUGUCAUAUGGUCUGUCAAGGAUUUGCGGUCAAUGCAAACUAAAUUGUUUUCUUCUUUAUAUGUUUUGACUUGAUUUUUCGUAUUUGUCAUUGGGAUCAUUUUUUCUCAACUAUUUUGCUGGCUAUUGUUUGAAAUCAGGUAUGUACUACUAAGAUGAAUUUGAGUGACGAGGCUGAUUUGGAAGAUUAUGUUUGCAGACUGGAUAAGAUCAGUGAUGCUGAUGUUGAGUUGGUUUCAUGGCACAGACCAAAAAUUUUAUGCAUUUGUUGUUUUCUAACAAUUGUAUUGCUAGGGACUUUUGUCCUGCGCUGGCCAAAGCUGUCAAAACUAUGAAAAAGGCAGAGAAGCUGCUCCUUAUAUAUAGUAAAGCCAUUACCAACAGUUGGAGAGGAAGGUGUUCUGAUGAGCAUCAUCUUGUUCUGCAUCAUCACUAAUCAACUUGUUAUGCACAGUGUCCGAUGUGCCUGUCUCAACUCGAUUGCUAAGGCAUAUAAUUGACCUAAAAAGGCACUUCAAGCGGGUAGGAAAAUUCAAGGUCGUUCUCAAGUACUUCCAAGUCGGUACGGUCGUUGAGCCUGCAUCUGAGUUCUACUCAAGUAGGCUGAAAAAUAGGGAACGCAAGGCAACAUUGGUUGACGAGCUGUUAUCAGAUCAAUCUCUGAAGAGCUACAGAGUCAUUCAUGUUGGUGGGCGUCUUGGAUGAACUACAUUUUCUUCAACAAAGAUGGAGCUCAUGCAGAUUGAUUUAGUCCCUUUUUGCAAUCGCCUUUGUUGCAGCAGGCAGCUACGUGCCCACGUUUGGCGAGGCGCCAUUUCCGGCCACCGGCCACGUCGCCGCGCGCAGGAGAGAAGCUAGGCACUACAUGAUGUCAGCCGACCAAGAUUUUUAAAAAAAGAUACGAAAGCUUGCUACAAAAUAAACCGGUCCAGUCACAAGCUAGCUAGCUAGCCAGAUUAAGUCGAUGCCGCACUGCUUGUAUAUGCAUUGGAUUCCAUAUUGUUCUCUUCAGAUGGACAUCAAAUGUUCUGUUCAUUAAUUAAGGUUAAUCAGUGGCAUCCUAUGUGGAAUCGUCCCUGCUUACAUGCAUAUAUAGUGCGUGCGUGCAUUAUAUGUAUCCAUUCCACAUGCAUGCAUCUGUUUCACCAUCUUUAAUUUGGAUGCUUAUGCAUGCAUGCUUCUUUA